rnacentral:rRNA from 1 species
GAUGAACGCUGGCGGCGUGCUUAACACAUGCAAGUCGAACGAUGACCCGGUGCUUGCACCGGUGAUUAGUGGCGAACGGGUGAGUAACACGUGAGUAACCUGCCCUUAACUCUGGGAUAAGCCUGGGAAACUGGGUCUAAUACCGGAUAUGACUCCUCAUCGCAUGGUGGGGGGUGGAAAGCUUUAUUGUGGUUUUGGAUGGACUCGCGGCCUAUCAGCUUGUUGGUGAGGUAAUGGCUCACCAAGGCGACGACGGGUAGCCGGCCUGAGAGGGUGACCGGCCACACUGGGACUGAGACACGGCCCAGACUCCUACGGGAGGCAGCAGUGGGGAAUAUUGCACAAUGGGCGCAAGCCUGAUGCAGCGACGCCGCGUGAGGGAUGACGGCCUUCGGGUUGUAAACCUCUUUCAGUAGGGAAGAAGCGAAAGUGACGGUACCUGCAGAAGAAGCUC